rnacentral:rRNA from 1 species
UACGUAGGGGGCAAGCGUUAUCCGGAAUUACUGGGUGUAAAGGGUGAGUAGGCGGCAUGGUAAGCCAGAUGUGAUAGCCUUGGGCUUAACCCGAGGAUUGCAUUUGGAACUAUCAAGCUAGAGUACAGGAGAGGAAAGCGGAAUUCCUAGUGUAGCGGUGAAAUGCGUAGAUAUUAGGAAGAACACCAGUGGCGAAGGCGGCUUUCUGGACUGAAACUGACGCUGAGGCACGAAAGCGUGGGGAGCGAACAGG